GAUGAAGAACGUAGCGAAAUGCGAUAAGUAAUGUGAAUUGCAGAAUUCAGUGAAUCAUCGAAUCUUUGAACGCACAUUGCGCCCGUCAGUAUUCUGGCGGGCAUGCCUGUUCGAGCGUCAUUACGCCCCUCAAGUCCCCUGUGGACUUGGUGUUGGGGAUCGGCGAGGCUGGUUUUCCAGCACAGCCGUCCCUUAAAUUAAUUGGCGGUCUCGCCGUGGCCCUCCUCUGCGCAGUAGUAAACCACUCGCAACAGGAGCCCGGCGCGGUCCACUGCCGUAAAACCCCCCAACUUUUUAUAGUUGACCUCGAAUCAGGUAGGACUACCCGCUGAACUUAAGCAUAUCAAUAAGCGGAGGA
rnacentral:misc_RNA from 1 species